rnacentral:lncRNA from 1 species
GUGCAAUAAAACUGUACCUCACUGUGCACUGAGAAUUAAUAAUUUCAAACCCUGUUGUUACAGAGGCGGCAUCAAAGCGGAAGGGAAGGCAUGCCCAUGAGGGAAAACACACACACGUUGAGACCCACAAAGAAAAGUGGGUGACUUCAAAAGAGUAGCAUUCUAUAUUCAGGGCUGGGAUCCUUUCUCAAGGUCAUUAACGACUCUAGCUGACUGAAAGAGUGGCCCAAUUACAAAGCACACAGAGAAACAGAAAUUAGAACAGGACAUAGUGACAGCUCCAGCCCUGGGUCACUCUGCACAGCCUGGCAAAGACCUGGAACCCAUUGGCCAAUUCCCCCAGAAUCCUUCAUGACUCAAAAACUCAGGACAGCCGGCUGAGUCCAGAGCCAAAGUUCAGGAGCUUCCUGGGUAAUUUCCACGUGAGAAGAAAGAAGACAUCCCGUAGCCCGGAAGAGGAACAGCAGCCAUUUAUUGAGCAUGUACUAUACUGCAGGCAAGAGCAGCGAGGCAGGAAUGCCCAGCCUCCCUGGAUGGCUAACAGAACGGAAGCUCAGAAAGAUUCAAUGAUCUGCCCGAGCUUGCACAGUAAAUGCAAGAACUGGGAUUUGAACGGACGUCAAAGAGGGGGACCCUGA